CAGUCUCAGAGAGUUCGAUCCUGGCUCAGAACGAACGCUGGCGGCAGGCCUAACACAUGCAAGUCGAGCGCCCCGCAAGGGGAGCGGCAGACGGGUGAGUAACGCGUGGGAAACUACCCUUUGGUACGGAACAACUCGGCGAAAGCUGAGCUAAUACCGUAUGUGUCCUUCGGGAGAAAGAUUUAUCGCCAAAGGAUGUGCCCGCGUCGGAUUAGCUAGUUGGUGGGGUAACGGCCCACCAAGGCGACGAUCCGUAGCUGGUCUGAGAGGAUGAUCAGCCACACUGGGACUGAGACACGGCCCAGACUCCUACGGGAGGCAGCAGUGGGGAAUAUUGGACAAUGGGGCAACCCUGAUCCAGCCAUGCCGCGUGAGUGAUGAAGGCCUUAGGGUUGUAAAGCUCUUUCGCCCGCGAAGAUAAUGACUGUAGCGGGAGAAGAAGCCCCGGCUAACUUCGUG
rnacentral:rRNA from 1 species